rnacentral:lncRNA from 1 species
ACAUUUAUGGCAAAUCAGGACGUGGCUCCCUCCUGAUAAAUGGGCUGAGAGGGCUCUGUCUAAUUCCUGGGUGAUAAAAACACCAAUUGCUGACAUUUCCCUCUGUUUUCCCUUCCUCUGACAUUUCAUUUAGGAGAAAACAACGCCAGCCACUCCAAAUGUGCUCUCAUUGACAUUUGCUGGCCCUGAUUAAGCCAGAGUUUGACAGGAAGGGGAUGUCCCUGUCCCCAGGAUCCCAAAAUCCCCCCAGGGAAUUCCUCCCAGGACAGGCUGAGCUGCUCCCAGCUCAGGAAUCACCUCAGCUCACCCCACCCAGCCCAAAUUAAACCAACCCCUCACUGCAGCCCGGCAGGAAAUCCAAUUUAUAGUCAUGCUAGGGACUCCAAUUACCACAGCCAUUAACAAUUUGUUAAUGAGUCAAUUAACAUGCUUUGGGAUCUAUGGAGAAAGGCCAUUAUAAAUAUGAUGGCAUCAAAUACUGCACAAAUAAAGAUUUGAGUGUGCCAGGGGCUGCUGCUGGGUGCAGGUGGGACCAGCUCCACUGAGAUCCUUCCCUGCCAGGACAGCCUGGAAGCUGCUGGGAUGGCCAGGAAUGCUGCUGGGAUGGCCAAAACCCUCCCAGGAUGGACACAAACCCUCCCAGGAUGGACACAAACCCUCCCAGGAUGGACACAAACCCCCCCAAGGAUGGACACAAACCCCCCAAGGAUGGACACAAACCCUCCUGGCACUCUCCAGACAGGAUCCCAAUUUAUUCCAGGGCAGCUUCCUGAGCUUUAUCCCUCCUCCAGCACCUCCAGGGUCACCAGAAUUCCCAAAAUCCAACAUUCCCAAAUCCCAUCCUGGAUCAGCUUCACCCACAGCCCCCUCUGGGCACAAAAUUGGGAUGAGAGGACACCGAGUUUAACCCUGGGAAUGUUUUCCCAUCAUCUGCCUCAAAAAAGGAAGGGAAUUGUUGGGAGCACCAAGAGCAUCUCGAGAGUGGGGUGACAUUGUCACCGCUGCUUCCAUGGAAACCGCGUUUGUUUCUCGGAGCUGUUCCAGCAUAAUUAAUAAAAACCUCCCCUGCACGUGGGCCCUGCUCUGA